UUUUUUUUUUUUUUUUUUUUUUCUAACCUCACACAAUGUUUCUAUGAAUGUAUAGUAAUAUACAAAUAAAAUGAAUGACUACUUUACAUAAAUCUUCUAAUUAAGUCCUACAAGAAUGCACAAUCCUAUGGGUCAAAACGUGUCACACUUGUUGUUGUUGUUGUUGAACAACUAAAACCGAAACAUUAGAGUUGAGAUCUUUAGCUGCAAGCAAAUCCCCAAUGACACCUAACUCUGGUAGUUCAACCCACUCCAUUAGUCCUAACAAUUCUUUUGAUGUCAUAUCAUGAUCUCUCCCGACCACCAUAAGAUCGUACACUUCCGCUAGCGAUCGGACAACGGUGACUACCUCAGCACCACUGGUCACAAUCCUUUCUGUAUAAACAAUGUCAUUGUUUUCUUCUGGAACCUUUAUAUCCUUUAAACCUUCAUUAUCCAAAAUGUAAUCCCAAUCUGGCUUUGCUUCUUGCUUAAAUACAAGUCGGGUCACGGUUACACUGACCCUCGUGUUAUGUUUCAUCUUUUUCACCAGUGCUAGUGCCUCUCGGUCAUCUUUGCCACCAAUGAAUAUCACACCAACAUCAAUGUUGUAUUUUUUUUUACUCGAUACAAUGCUUUUCCGUGAGAACUGUCCACGGUCCACUAGUAUGCCUAUAGAACAAGGUGCACGGUCUAGCAAUGACUGGUUUAAAUUUCUUAUGGCAUUGUCGUCAAACUCAAACAUCCCAUCCAUGGUCCAUUUCCUCCCCGAGGGAAGAACAAUCAUCGAUGUAGACUGGUCAAGUGCGAGUGUGCAAAUAUCUUCGUGCAUCAAGUUCUCAUGCGAAAACGCGGUGAACGUUGUCACGGUUACGGACUCUAAGCUUUCUAGCAUGAACUGUCUGAAAGCAAGGUUUGCCGUAUGGAUGUAUGAGUUGUGGUUAAGCCGUUUCAAGUUCUUGUUGUGUGGUACCAUGAUUGGGUUGAUCUGACCAGCGAGCUUCACCAGGUGAAGAACUGUGACCGCCAUGGGAAAGUCUAGGUUUGGAGAAGAUAACAAUUGGAGAAAUGCAAUGGUCUCCGAGACGUUUUCAGGUUUAUGCAAACAAGUUAGAAUUCGAAGAUCGGAGUUAGGUUCAAGAUGCAAUAUGUCCCUCUUCUGAUAAUUAACGUACUUUCGUUUCGGGUCGUACAUGCUCCUUAACACCAUAGGGACAAUCCCAGCGUUUAGUAGCGAAAAAAUGAUCAAGAAGGCGUAAGUGGCUUGCGAUAUAUACUGCAAAAGUAAAUGAUAAAAAUAUGUUUUAGAUGAAGGAAAAUAAAAAUCAUAGAUUGGUUUGUGGGGGUAAGACAUUACCUUGUCGUCUAAAACAGCUUCAUAGAGAACAAAAUCAUGGAAACUUUUGUAGCUCAAGAUGAGAGAAACAGCCAUUGAUUCAUUAAGAGGUAGCUUGUAGUACAAGGAAGGUCCAAAGCAUGAGACUAGUUUCAAGAAAAGUGUUAGGAAUGUUAAGAAGAUGUUGAAGAAGAUGUCAUUGAACUGGUUAUAGAUACUUAUUCCAUCACAUCUCAUCGCGCUGACUGUGAUUGAGAUUGGUAAGAACACGUUCAUUGUGAGCUUCUCGUACUUGGCCUCUAGGGCAGAUCCUAAGGGCGGACCUUCCGGUAUGAUGAGACCGAUCAUUAACGGUCCUAAGAUGUACUUCAUGUUAAAGAACACAAAAUAAGCCGCAGAGGCCAAUGCGGUUAUAAUCACGACGUCAACGUACAUAUUCUCCACGGGCUUGUCUUCAGGUGUGCGGUCUAUGAUCCAUUGCACGGCCGGUUUAAAAACAAGAAAGACGAUGAGAAGGAAGAUGAUCACCGCGAUAAAGUCACGAUAGGCUGUUAGAUGUGAAACAUGCGUGUAGGUCGCCUGAAGAGAAGCGAGUACCAUGGAAAAUAUCCCCAAGAUGUCGUUAAUGAUAGAUGCUGACAACGCAAGGCGGCCAAGCUCAGAGUUGAGUAUCUUGAGCUCUAGUAAAAUAUAUGUUGUAGAAGGUAAAAGUAUAGCAGAUUGGGUUAUGAUGAUCGCAGUGCGCUCGCCCAAAGCUUUAUCUAGCGGCAUGUAGUGAGGAUCAAUGCUAUCAGAGAAAAGGUUUUGUAAACCUAGACCGAACAAAGGAACAAAGAAGGAUACAAUCCCGAUCACGACGGGCAAUUUCCCGCUAUGGAAGGCCACUCGUCGGCUGGUUCUAACGGUCAUCAAAAACGUAAACAUUAUGGUUCCAAACACCGAGAUGCUUCUUAACAUCGCGGAUCCAUCCAAGGCAGGAUCCACAGAUAAUUUUCUUGAAGAUCUCUCUAGUACAUUGAAUAGCUGAGGCCCUAGAACUAUUCCAGCCUGCAUGCACAUAAAUUUACGUAAUAAGAAUUCAUUUUUAGAAAGCUUUCUUCUAUAGUCGUUAAACAUUAUUUACGUGCAUGUCAAGUUACGUACGUACAUCUAGUUUUGUUUUCCUAAAAACCACAAAUCUCUUAUGUGUACGUGUUUUGUCAAGUUACAUACAAGGAAAGAUGCUUACCAUCAUAUAGGAAGCGAUCGGGGAUAUGCCUAAGCGUCUGAGGAACAUGUGAGACAUGACAAUGGCGAAGAAUAUAACUAGUAUUUGCAUCUCCAAGAGAGGCAACGAGUACUCGAAAAUCACAUCAGGCGAAUUUAGGUUCUCGAACAAUCCUUGAGAAGAGAUGUUGAAGAACGAUACACGGCAAUCACCACUCAGGUAGAUAGUCGUAUCGUCCAUGAAUUCACACCGUAGAAUUUGGGAUCAAAAUUUUGUGUAAAUUAUGUUUCUUGAGUCUUUGAAUUUUGGUUUUCAAAGGAUUUUUCCAUUUGUGAAGUUUAGGUUAAUUUCUUGUUCUUUUGGUCUUUGUAAAGUAUCUGUCAAAAAACUUUUUCUAUGGAGAAUUUGCUUUGCUAAAUUAAAGUGAAAGCUAAGGUUUAAUUUGAUACAAUUUUUUCUUCCCCUAAAUUAGCUUAAAGUGUCUGUCUGGAGACCCCAAGGUUAGGAGGUUUUAGAUAGCUUGUAAUCCAAAUUUACGAUCAAAUUCUUGAAAUAUAUUUUUUAACUGCUCUAAUCUAUCCUAAGUUUAUAAUUUUUUUGCCUUAACUCUCAAGAUAACACUUUGUAAAGUUAUUUAUUUUUUUGUCUAAUAAACUAAUAAAAUUAGUGAUCACAUUGGUGGUAAAAAGUUGGCUUGAAGUGGGCUGGCAUUUGUAUUACUAGAUUUAGUAUUUUCUAUAUUUACAACUAAUCAUCAUAUUAAGAAUGAAUGAAGAAACCUAAUGUUGUUUAUUACACAACUUACUUAAUGGGCCUUAAGAUUCAAUAUACAUCAUCGGCCCAUUUAACAUCUCGUAUAAAUAACCCUAAAGUUUUCCAUAACCUUUUCCAUCAAAUUCAAUCUACGUUUCUCCUCUCUCAUUAUAUCAUCAGCCACGAAACAACUCUUCUCUCUCUCUCUCGAUCCGAUUUUUUUACUAACGCUUCAUUCUCUGCAGGAUCUGUUUAAUUACGUUUCGUUUCUAAUUUUAGAUCUUCUCUAACCCGUUUCGUUAACCAAUCGCUAUACAUCGUCGUUGUUGUUUUUUCUUUUGUGAUUUUUGUAUAAUGGAUUCAGGUAUGAACACUUCUUCACACUUGAAGGCGCAAGCUCGAUGCCCACUUCAACGAAGCUAUCUCCCCAAGAAAACUUCCAAAGAAAACGUAAGUAUCUUUAAAAUUUAGGGUUUUGAAUUUUGUGGGUUUUGCUCUGUUCUUCAGGAUUUAGGGUUUCGAACUUGCUUUGCUUUAAAAACAUCAGUUCCGUCAAAACAUUAGUCUUUCAUACAAUUGGUUUUGUCAUAAACCUUGUCGUGUCGUAAAAAUCGCUUCUUGAUGAUGAAUUGUGUCUUAAGAAUCGUGUCUUGAUGAUGAAUUGUCGUAAAUAUCGAUUUAUUGAUGAUGUGUUGUCAUAAAAAUCGUGUCUUGAUGAUAAACUGUCGUAAAAAUCUUUACUUGAUGAUGAAUUGUCGUAAAAAUCGUUUCUUUGAUGAUGUGUUUCAUAAAAAUCGUUUCUUGAUGAUGAAUUGUACUAACUGAGUUUGUUUUGUAUGUUUUCACCAGUGGGACAGAUUUAUACCAAACAGAUCAGCUAUGGAUUUUGACUAUGCUCACUAUGCGCUUACCGAAGGAAGAAACGAGAAAGACCAGGCAACAAAGGUAAGUACUUCACCAUCAAGAGAAGCCUACAGGAAACAAUUGGCUGAGACGAUGAAUCUGAAUCGCUCACGGAUCCUUGCCUUCAGGAACAAACCUCAAGCUCCAGUGGGAUCUCUUCACAAACUUCACUCUGUUUCUUGGCUUGACCAACAGCCUAAACCUUUAAAGCCGCGUAGAUACAUCCCUCAGACUUGGGAGAGAAUGUUGGAUGUACCUGACAUUGGGGAUAACUUCUAUCUUAACUUGCUUGACUGGGGCAGUGCUAAUGUUUUAGCCAUUGCGUUGGAUCAUACUGUUUAUCUGUGGGAUGCUUCUACAGGUUCUGCUUCUGAGCUUAUGAGUGUUGAUGAAGAGAAGGGGCCUGUCACAAGUAUCAACUGGGCACUAGAUGGUUGUAAUCUUGCAGUUGGGCUUGACAACUCUGAAGUCCAGAUUUGGGAUUGUGUCACAAAACGUAAACUGAGAACGUUAAAGGGUGGCCACCAGGAAAGAGUAGGAUCAUUGGCGUGGAACAGUCAUAUCUUAACAACGGGAGGAAUGGAUGGGAAGGUCAUCAACAACGAUGUACGAGCUAGAUCACAUGUUGUGCAAAGUUACAGGGGUCACACUUUAGAAGUUUGCGGGUUGAAGUGGUCAGGAUCUGGACAGUAUUUAGCAAGUGGUGGAAAUGACAAUGUGGUUCAUGUAUGGGACCGUUCUUCUUCUACACAAUGGCUGCACAGGCUUGAGGAACACACAUCUGCAGUUAAAGCUCUUGCUUGGUGUCCUUUCCAAACGAAUUUACUUGCAACUGGUGGCGGUGAUGGAGAUAGGAUGAUAAAGUUCUGGAAUACUAGUACAGGAGCUUGCUUGAACUCGGUAGAAACUGGCUCUCAAGUUUGUUCUUUGAUAUGGAGCAAGAAUGAAAGAGAGUUGCUUAGCUCACAUGGUUUUACUGAGAACCAGCUUACUCUUUGGAAGUACCCAUCCAUGGUGAAAAUGGCUGAGCUGACUGGUCAUACAUCACGCGUUCUAUACAUGGCUCAGAGUCCGGAUGGUUGUACCGUAGCUUCAGCAGCAGCGGACGAGACUCUGAGGUUUUGGAAUGUUUUUGGAGUACCAGAUAAAGCCAAAAAAGCUGCUGUCAAAGCAGUACCUGUGCCAUUUUCUAAUGUGACUCGUAUUCGCUGAAACUGUUGUGAAGCCAUUGUCUUUUUGUAUUUGCCACACAAGAGAAAUAUGCAGAAUCAUAUUAAAUUGUUGAGUCUCUACCUGAAACCAUUGUAUUUCUAACUAUGAAUAAUCAUGAAGUUAACUUUUUGGCCUUUUAAUUUUAAAAAUUUUGUUUGGAUUAAUUAAGUUGUUUAUUUGAGCAUAUAAAUUUUUUUAAAGUUUCAAAAUAUUUUAAUAUUUUUGAAAUCUUUAAAAUAUUCAAAUAUAAAAAAUUAUAGAAUAUUCGUUUUAACUGGAUUCCUAGAAAGCUCAACAAUCUUGCAGAUUGUCUUGCAAAACUUCAACGUUUUUCUAUUUCUGAUUUUGUUUACCAUCACUCUAUCCCUUCUGUUAUUCUUGAUGCUGUAAACAAUGACUAUUCUAGUCUUUAUUAAUAUAUUGCAGAUCUGUGUUAAAAAAAAAAAAUUAUAGAAUAUUUAAAAUAUUAUGCAACGGGUCAAAAUAUUUUUGCAACGGAUCAGAACCUGAUACAAACCACUUAAGUUUUACAAUUAAAUAUUUUAUAAUACCAAAAUAAAUUAUAUGCAAAAAAAUUCAUUCUUACGGGUCAUUAAGAACAUAACUAAAUCAAAUUUUAACAAUGGUACAUACAAAAUCUUAUUAACGAAGCAUACUAUUCAAAUAUUAAUUAAAUCGAAUUUAGAAUACAAAUAAGUUUUACUGAUAAACUAUGUAAUGUAUCAAGCUAUACAAAAAUUCAUGAGUUAUUUUGUUAAACUCACAAUUAUAUAGUAGAACGAAUAAUCAAUAAUAUUUUUACGAAUGCAAUUAGUUACAGUUUGGUCAUUCAAAACAUAUAUCUGUUACAGACAUGUAUGAUUCACCAUAACCAACUCCAUUUACUUAACACAUCUACAUACACUAACCAUACUCACUAUUGUUUUUGGAUAAUAUUCAAUAUAAACUUAUUAGAAAAAUUAGUUACCAAAAUCAUAAUAUAAAAAUGAUAUAUUCGUAAAAAAACAAAUUUUGAAAUACAUAUGUAUCAUUUUUUUGUCGAGGUUUAGUAAAUUAAAACCUAUUAACAAUAGUUCGAUAAUUUUCCUCUGCGCUGUAGCGCGGAUCCGAUUCUAGUAUAUCUUCUUUAAAGAUUUUGAUUUUCUAUGAACGACAGAUAAUACUAUAUUCUUAAGAACAGUCACAUAUAAAUUCUUCUAAAGUUUAGUAACAAUGUAACAUAUACAUUCAUAAGGAAAAUAGUUAAUUUUAAAAAUUAAAAUAUUUUCCUCAGUUUUCUAAUAAAUCAUUUUUUGUACUUAAAUAAUAUUUAUUAUAAAAAAUGAAUUAUUAGAAAAGUGAGGAAAAUAAUUUAAUUUUUUUUUGCUAAAACGUAUUAGUUUGUAAAAACAUAAAAAAUAUUAUACAUAUACACAUACGCACUUAUAUGAGUAUCAUUUUCCCAUUGGUAAGCUUCGUUAAUGUGUUAGUAAAAGAAUAAAAUAAGUAUAAUCAUGACUUGUAGGGCAUUAAACGAAAAGAAAAAAACAAGAUUUUCUCGUACAAUCGAAAUUUUUCUUGUCUGAAAAAAGAAAGAAAAGAAAAAAAAAGUAAUUUAGUAGUCCUGAAAUAAUUUGUAAGCAACACCAAGUUAUUUGGCCUUUUGCUUUAAGGUAAAGACCAAUUGAAUAGAGACUAUACAAUCUAAUAUAAUAUAACCACUCUUAACUUUUCCCUUAAGUAUGAUUAAUCAUAACCAUUAGUACAUGAAUAUAUAUUAUUAAAUUGCAUUACAUAAGAGUAAGUUAUUGAGUUUUUUGAAGCAUAAUAGCAUAUGAUACUACAAUUAGCACAAGUGAAAUGACCCUCGCAAUACUUAUGAUGGUACGCAUGUAGAUUUCCUUGAGCACUUCGUUCCUAAAUUAUACAUAUACAAAUAUAUUUUUGUAUGUAAUUAUCCUAAUCUUGAACAAAUUUUUCUCCACUGAUUGAUAAAUAAGUUAUAUUUGUUAAUAAGAUUCUAUCUCACUAUUUGUUGUUCUAUUUAUAAUCAAAUUCCGCGGUUUAUUUAUUAUUUUAAACAUUAAAAAAAUCUUACAAAAAUACAAAACACUGUCGAAAUAUUAUAUGUCUAUCUAUCAUCCGAAAAAUCGGUUUCUAGGAAACUAACCAACUCAAAACAAGUAAGAUAUAUAACGAAUCUAAAUUUCGAUAAUCGAUUUAUAUCCGUAUUUGAACAUGAUUUUGGAAUAUCAUAAGUCUACCGUUAACAAGAUUAAUGGUGGUCUCUUAGCCAUAUUUUAAAUUAAUAAAAUUGAAAAGAUUAUGCAAGCAUGUAUAGUACUUCAGAAAUAUGAUAGUAGAAGAUGAACGAGAUAUGUAUACUCAGUUUGAUGUCACUGAAUUCGAACAAGCGGAAUCUGCCAGAUAUACACGGGUGGCUUUCACAUAUUCUACAAAAUGCCUUCAAAUUUUGUUGAUAUGAUGGCUAAUAGAACUCGAUUUCGUGAUCGAGCUAUGCAUCAGCAAUUGAAAAAGGAUUUGGUCGAUCAUAUAUGGACAAAUUUUUUUAUAAAUCAAGUGUAAAACUAUUGUGCUUUAAGUUAUUUAUAUUUUAAAUACCUCAUGUAUGUUUUAAAAUUUCUCAUUUACAAUAAUUAUUAACUUUUCUAAAAUUACAAUUUUUAUUUUUAUUUUAUUUUUAAAUCAAUAUAUUGUUUUCCUAAAAACCCCAAAUUAAGAGCCUACCAUUAAAGUUACCUAAAAACUAAAAACAAAAAUACAACUCUUAACUCUUAAUUUUCCUAAUUUAAAAAUAAACUAUUCCUAAAAACAAAAUUUAGCCUAUUGAUAAUGUUGCUCUUAGACUCUCUUAAUAUCAUAAAUAAACAAGAAUCUUGGAUGAAUCUUUUUGAAUGACCAAAUGGGAGAAACUUAAUUAAACAACAACAAAAAAUAAAUUAGGAGAGGCCCAUGCUAAUAGACAGAAGAUCUGGUUUUAGAUCUUCAGGACCCAACCAAAAAAAAAAACAUCAAAUCCUUUUUGGUGGUUGGCUUACCCUUCGACUUUUUGGUUCCCACUUCUCACCCAUCUCCAUUGAAAAAAAGCAAUUAUUUAACAUUGCAUUAACAUACCUUAAAUUAAACUUUUUUGUUGUCAAUAUACUUUUGAAGUUUCCAAAUCACAAGACAAAAUAUAGACAUCUUAAGCCAAUCAUAGACAUCAUAUUCCAUUUCACUAGUAUAAAUCUCCAAUAAAUCUUUAGUAUUUUACACCAAGGGAAAUGAACAUAGAUGAUAACAAAUUGGAAAAAAACAAAACAUCCCAAUAGUUUUACAUUCAUGGAGCCAAAACAUGGAUGUGUAAUUGGGUUUAGGAAACAAAACAAAUCAAUCAGCAAAACAAAAAGAAAAGCAAAUAAGCAAAACUCUCACACUUGGUAAAAAAAAAAAACUCAAGUUUGAGUUUUUGAGUUAAACCAGGGGAGUUUCAUUCCCAUCACUCUCUAAAUCUAAACCCUAAAUGGAUCAGAUUCACACUCUCCUCACAAACUUUAAAAUCAAGCUCUAUCUACAACAAACUGACUAAAAAAGAUCACUCUCACUAGAACCCUAAUACUGAAAGUGAUCUGUGUAUUGGUAUAUUAGAAGACUAUAUAUUAGUACUUUUGUUGAGUAAGGAGAAAAAUAGAUCAGUAGCAGCUCGAUCCGGCGUAGUUUCUUGUUAAUGGAGAAGAACUUUCUGAUACUUAGUUUCUGAGUAUGUUUCAUCUGAGAUUGAGAAUGCCCUUUUCUUGUUGGUGUUACCACAACCAUUGUUCUGAAACUGAGGUGGUGGGAUGGUGACUGGAGGGAUCUCAGAGGUCUCAAGUGGUGGUGGAGGAUGACGCCAUUGAGGUAAAGGACCGGCUAAGAGAAGUGUCUGAAGCAAAGGACCAGCCUUGAUAACAGCUUGUAAGAGUUUUCCCUUUUCAGGAAGUGGCUUUUCAGGUAACAAUGUAGCCAUCAUCUCAUCUCCUGAGACUUCAAUUUGUUGUUGGUUCAUCAUCACCGGAUCGAUUACUGAUGGUGACAUUAUGCUCUCUUCGGUGUCUGAAGACGAAAAGCUCUUGUUGGAGUUAAGCUGAGGCUGAGGCUGAACUUGCUCGUCUUCAAUAAUACUUGAAGCUCCAGAUAAAGGAGGAGUGAUAAGUUCUUGUUUCUGAUUCUGAUGUUGUUUCUGUUGAAGCAAGAGAUUGUUGAUGAUGAGAUGAUGACAUUUCUCUAACGCUUCGUCUCUUUCUUUGAGGGUUUUGGUUAAAACAUCUUCAAGAUGGAUUAAUUGUUCAUCUCUCUUCCUUAGUUCCUCUUGAGCCACGAGCUUCGUUUGUUCUAGCUCUAGUGUAGUGUACACAAGAGUCUGUCUUAACUCUUCCGUUGUCUAAACAAAUCAACAGAGAAACACAAAACAAUCAGACAGAGAAACAGAGAAAACCACUAAAAAUUUGAGCUUUCAUUUACAGAUUCAUAUCACAAUUAGGGCUUUUGGCUACAAAUGACAAGCGCAGAGACACCCAAGUUUCCCAAAAAUCUCGUCUUUUUUACAUCUAAUUUACAAACAGAACAUGCAGAUUCAUAUCAAAAUUAGAGCUUUUGGUCACAAAUUAAGCAAAAUUUCUUCAAAGUCUUGUCUUUUCCGACUAAUUUACACACAAAAAUGUGAAAUUUAAGCUAAAAAACUAAGAUUAAGAACACCCAUUAUACAGAAUCAAGCUAAGAAAUUGAUGAAUGUAUAAAAUUCCAAGUGUAAUUCGAGUAACCCAGUUACAGAGUAUGAAACUUGACUUUGGUUAAAGGUUCGGUUUUUAAUACACAAACAAAGAAGAAGACACAAGAAAUUCAUGAUUUUGGACACACAUUAUGCGUAGAUCUAAGCAAAACAGUGGACACAAUGCAAGAAAACAGAGGAAACAGAGGAUACAGAGAAAAAAAGUCUAUACCUUUCCAUGAGAGAAGUAAGCCCAGCUAAGAAGAGCAUUGCUUUGGUCCAUGUUCCUUACUAAAACUGAAGCUAAACUAAGAGAUGUUUAGAUUAUGUAAACAAGUGUGAGGAGAGAGCAAAACAGAGAAGAACAGAGAGAGAUGGGUUAAGUGGAGAGGAGUAAGUAAGAGAGGAGAGUUAUAAAAGUAGUGAAGAAACUUCAUGGACUGCUUUAUGGAUGUGCCUGUCAUAUAGAGAGCUUUCAACAUCUUUUUACCUUCAGUAUCCAAUAUAUUCUACAAAAGUUGAUAACCCCACCCAAAAUUUUCUAUUAUUGUUUUCAUUUUUUUCUUUUAAUAUUAAUUCAUUAGGGUUUAUUAAUUUAUUAAUAAACUGUACUAUAAUAUAACUGGAUAUCACUUAUUAUACCAGGAUUAUUUUAGUAAAUUGUAGAUGUGUAUCAAUUAUACCCAAAUUUCUUUAAAAAUUACAAACAAAAUAAUCCUAAAUCGUAGACUUUACAAGUAAAACAUUUAAUUUACCGUUUUUUGUAACGGAAUUAAUUACAAGAAACUGUUAUUUUUAGUUUUGUCAUUUUUUCUAAAUUUUUAUAGAUUUAUUAUUUUUGAAUAUUUAGAAAUUAUAAUAAUAAUAUUGUGAAGGUUUAGAUGAUUGCACUACAUAGUAGACUAAUGAAAUGGACAUUCCAAUUUAAAACAAAUUGUAGUUUUAAAAACCAUAAAAUGGUGGUAACUUCCACAUUUAGUAUCCAAAUCCUCUAAUAAUUUUAAGUUCUAAAAAAAAAUGCUAGCACUAAAAACAAAAUAUAUACUGUAAGAAAAUUAAUGUCCAUAUUAAUAAAGCAAUAAGUGAUUCAUACUUAUUUAUGUAAUCCGUUUCUAUUUUGGACCGGUAUUCGCGGAAUAAUUUGUAAAAUUAAAUAAGAUAAAGGUUAGUUAAAGAUAAGAAAUGAAAUAGUAUAACUUUAGAUUGCUAAAUACAACCAAAAAAUUAAAAAUCUGUUUUCAACAAAAGUUUUUUUCUUUUUCUAAAUAGUUAUUACAGUGAUAGAACUAUUUAUUUACUGUUCCUACUAAGUAAGUACCAAACAAUAGCAUCUCAAGGGUUUGGUGCAGUGACCAAUACCGUAGUUUACGUACUUGCUGGGUCUCAAUUUCUUGGAGUAUGUUUGUUUUCUUCUUUCGUGUUGUCAAUGGAUACAACAGCAUUUUUCUUGUCUUUUACACAAAGACGAAACAAGUUUAUAAUGUCUUUGACAUUUACAACCAUUUCACACUACAUAAAAGUCUAUACCGAGAAGAAUGCUAUUUGCAUUUAGUUUUCUUGCCAUGUUUUUGUAACGUAUAUGCAUUUUCAUUAUUGUCUUCGUAGAAAAUUUUGGACAUUAGAUCAAAGACCUACGACAAAAAUAAGAAUCUCUCUAUCAAUAUUGGGGCUUAAAGCUAUCAACUCACACAAACAAAAAAUACUCUUAUAUUUUUUUUUAAGAAAAUAGGACUCUGAAUUGUGUGAUACGACUACUCGUAAUGUUCUCACUUAUUUCUAUUUCUUGAGCAAAACAAGAGAUUCUUACGAACAAUGCCAAUUUAUAAGGUAAAUUUUACGAAGAUAACAUUAUUGCUAAAAUCUUGUGAAUUUUUCAUUUUUGAACACUUAAUUUUUGUUUUUUACCAAUAUUUUUGUUAAAAUACAUAUUUUAUAACAAAUACUUUCUCUGUUUCACAUUGUAUGAUGUUUUAUAAUUUUUUUUUGUUUCUAAAAGAUUGAUUUUGUAGAUUAAAAAGUUAAAACUAAAAUUUUACUCUAUGUUUUUCUUUACGUGACAGUUAUCUAAUGAUUUAUAUUUUCUCUUUUUAUCAAAAUUUAAUUUAUAAAUAAAUAAUUAAUUUUAUUUUAAUAUGUGUGAAAAAACCCAAAGCAUCAACUUUUUAGAAUCCAAGAGAGUGUUAAACUUUAAAACCAAAUGGAAUCGAUUAAACUCAAAAAUAAUAGGUAAAACAUAUAUUAAUCAUAUUUUUAUAGCUUAAAAAUAAUAAAUACAUAAAAUUUUAGAUAAAAUGGCAAAAUCUAUAAAUCCCAUCAUGAAAAUAGCAAAUUUAUAAUUGAUUCUUAAAACGAGCAUUUGAGAAGAGUACUAAGUACAUUUCAAGGGAUAUUAUGCAUAUAUUUGGACGUGAUUCUUGAUUUCUAUAUUUAAAUAAAUCGAGGUUACAAAAGAUCUAGGCAGUGUCGUAUUUUUUUUUUUAUAAUCUAAGUGGACUUGCACUGUUUCACAUUGCUUUAGUUUUACUUUUUCUCAUCUUAAGAUAUUCUAGUUUAUAGUAUAAGAAAUAUUGAAAAAUAGCUACCGUCUCAAGUUCGUUCAUGAUGAUCAUUUAGACGUGAACCAUUUCUUCUUGGAUCUUUCUACUUAUAUUACAAGUUUGUAGGAUAUAUAUGUUUUUUGUUUUGGACAACUUAUGAUAUGUUAUUAUAUGAUCGGAAGAUCUCUUUAACAAAAAGAAAAGAUCAUAAGAUCUCAUUUGGAAUUUAUAAACUAAAUUUAUGGUUGUUAUUAUAAUAUAAGGUGAUAUUAUUAAAAUUCACAUAUACAAUCUAGCUUUACAGAGAAAGUGGUCAACGUAGACAUUUCUGGUAAACUUUUUUUUCUUCGAAAACAUGUGCAUGCAGCCCUCAACACAAACAAAGUCACUGGUUUUGUCUAAAUGAAGGAAACAUGUAUUAUCGUAAGUUUAUAAUGUGAAAUUUUAAGAAACAAAUGACUACAAUCAUGUGAAAAUGUAAUUUGAUCUCAAGAAUUUAUGCAUUGUAUUUGUAUCAUAUGUGUGUUUUGUAAACGCACAGAGUCAAAUAUGACGUGGAUUCCAUUGAAAGCAAAAAGAAGCUAGUAAGUAAACAUUUUCCACCAAUAUCUACAAAAAGUUUAUGGAAUCACUUUUCAAUUAUGAACCUCCACACCAGUCAUGUCUUGGCUCCCAAAAUUCACUUUUGUAUUUAAUAUUUAUAAUAUGACUAAACACAAAUUUGAUAAAAAGAAAUGUAUUCAAAAUGCUUUUAAAGUUAUAAAAUGUAUUCAGUAAUUUUAUACAUUGUUAAAAUUUAUUUCGAUAAUUUUUGUUUUUGAAAUCAUUUUGACGGUAGUUAGUCGAAAUUUGCAAAGCCAUAUCUUAGAGAUAGUUCAGAGAUAAAGCAAAUAACCAUAUAAUUCUGAUAAUGUAUAUAGCCUUUAAGGUUUACAUAUUUCAAUAUAAAAUUCUUCCUAGAAUGCUUUUACUUUAGUCAAUCAACUUUCUGGCUAUUUUUAUCUAAAUUUGGGUUAUAAUAUGUUGGGAGAUGAACUAGAUCGAUUAAGCCAAAUUAAGAUUGACCAUACAAUUACUUAGGAAUUUUUUUUCGUAAUUAGAAUUGAAUAAUAAUAAAAAGUUAAAAAAAAAAGUAUUGAACAUUUUUAGUUUAAUUGAAUUGUUAUUGUUUUAUGCGUAUUUAAUUACUACAUAAUGAAUUAUAAAAUAUUAUUAAUGAAUUAUAAAAUUAAUUAAGAAAUUAUUUAUUUAUUAAAAUAAAUUAGAACAGGAUAUUAACAUGUUCGAGUGUGGGAGACCUCCAUCUUAACAAAACAAUUAGAGGAGUAUAAAUUUGAAGUAUGAAAAUCGUUUAAAAAAUAAGUUUUAUCUUUUUAUUGUUUCUGAUAAUUUGCUUACAUGUAUCAUUCUCUUUAAUGUAAAAAAAAAAUAAAAAUUCUGAGGUUUCUAUCCUUGCUUGUUUCAAAUUUUUUUAAAGAUAAAAAAUAUUUUGUAGAAACUACGUAGUAAUUCAAUUAUAUUAAAUCUUUGUUAUACAUUCUGUGAUUUUAAACAAUUUAUUUUUAUAAAACAAUUUGAAAGAGUAAUUUUUCUGGGUUGAUAAAAGAGUUAAUUAAUGCCCACUUUUCCAGGAAAUGAAAAAGGAAGAAAAAGAAACAUGAACAUUCACUGGAUAUAGAAGUAAACAAGGAAAAUAAUAUCUCUAUUUUGGGUUUUUUUGAGCAAGCGUUAACAUCAUAAUAAUUACAAUCAUGAUGGUCAUAUUAAUGGGUAUCACAUGGUAAUAUAUUUAUUGGUUAUGUUCAUUAUAUUGAAAUGACCCUCGAGACUUUAACAUUAAAACAACAACUAAUCAUUAUUAGAAAAAAAAAUCAUAUUAAGUAAUAAUUUCAUUUUUUAUGCACACAUAUUAAAAAUUACAUAAAUUAUAUACUUUUUUUUUGUCUCGUCUAUAUGCAAACAAUGUAAUUAUAUUAAGUUUUUGCACACAUAUAAAAAUGUACAUAAACUUUUUUUGGUCUAAUCUAUAGUAAAACAGAAUAUUCAUAAAACCCCAUAUUAAAUAUAAAUAUUUACCUUAAACUGUUUUAAAUUAAAAUAUGUGUACAUUGGCAUUUACAAUGAUGGGAAAUUAGGGUCCAAAUAUAUAACUCAAAUUGGGCUGCAAAAUAGCUACAUUAUAUGUAACAAUCGUAAUCAAUCAUAUAAAACAAUUGACUAUGGGUUGUUCUGGCUAAUACUUUGGCCACAUAACAACAAAUGAUCAAUUCGACAAUACAUGUAAAUGCACACUGUGUUUUGGACUAGCAAAAGAAGAAUUAAGAAAUUUCUAAGUAAGUUUUGUUUUCGUUGCCAUCUUCUCAUUACCUAGUAACUUCUUGCUGUUUUCAGUAGUCACGUCCGUGGCAUACAAAUCAUUUUCUCAUGGUCAUGAGUCAUGACUCAUGUAUAUAUAAUACAUUCUCCUCAAAUAAUUCACUUUUAACAAAUUAUAUGCGAGAAAAUAGCAAAAGGUAACCCAAACUAUUUGCUGGCGGUAUUAUGAGACCCGGUAAAUAGCAAUUUAAACUUACAAAAAAUCAAAUUCCCAACUUAAAUUAUAUGAAAUCCGCCAAAAUCAACAUAUAUCGAAACAAUGUUAGUUAACUAUUUAACGGCGAUGAGUCAUCCGACUAAUCAAACAAGAGAGAAGGGUAAAAUUACUAAACCUAUCUUUCAAAAGACUAAACCCAAACAGGCGAUUGGGAAGAAAUUUUGUUGACUCCUCUCAAACGAUGUAACAUGAUUUGGUCCAGUGAAGACUUUAAGACAUUGAGGUUGACUCUUGCUCCCAAUAGUGGUGUUAUGUUUCCCCUAAUUAAAAACACUAAAAGAAAAAUCAAAUUCACAAAUAUAUAUAUAUAUAUGUAUAUAGUUAGAAAUUACAUGUAUAAUUAAUUUUUGUAAAUAGUAACAUAAAAAAAAUUCCAAGAUUUUAAGACAAUAUUAGAGUUGAGACGUAUAACGACUAGCUAUGGCCUAUGGUUAUGUUAAAAUUCGCAAUGGAUAUAGACUCAUUUCUUUUAUGAAAGUAGACAAAUGAUUCAUAUAUAUAAUCUGUAUCUACAAAAUAUAACAAAAUAGACUACGCAAAGUAUUGUGUGCCCUUUAAAACUCAAAAUUUAAUAAAUCACCUAUAUUUGGUAGUCAAAAUAAUAUAAUGUUUUAUACAAAUUAAAAACUCCGAUGAAUCGAUUACUCGACGAGUACACUCACCCUAAAAAAUUAGUCAUGUGGUAAAUAUCGAAAUUACUCUCUGUCUCUCUCUUUAUAUAUAUAUAUAAAUUUGUAAUAUUAAUUUGAGUUUUUUUUAGUUCAUCGUUGAAUACAUUUUCACAACAAAAACAAUGUAAUCCUAAAGUUUUUGAAAUAUUUGCAUAGACAGCUCAUUUUAUUAGUUCCACUUUUAUAUACACAUGAAGAUGUCUAUAAAUAUAUUAGCAAAAGGCCCACAUUAUCCAAAUCUAAGUAACGCGCAAUGAAUAUGAUCGUGUUGGCGAUUUGACAAACAUUAGAUUAUUCACUCACACUUAUUGGGUUUAAGGUUUGUGUCCGAAGCCACAUAAAUGGGAAGCAUUUGUUGUAUUUGUAUGAAGACAUAACACAAGACAUGAUGCUUUGCUUCCAUUUUAUUCAAUAUGAUUAAUCAUGAAAACUCAACUUUUUCUUGUUCACGCAUUUUUUUUUCUUUCUAAUUAAGUUCCUUAAUCACGAUAACAAGGCAAAAACCAAAUUGCAUAUUUUGUCGGCCAAUAAUUUCUCAUGAUGUUCUUAAAGUAAAAAAAAUAUUGUGAUAAUUAAUCCAAAUAUAGUUUGUAGGAAUCUUAACUAUAAAUAACAAAAAACAUAAAACCAACCGUUUUGGCAGUUAAAGAGGUAUCGAUUCUAUAGAAAUGACUUUAAGAGAAUCAUAUUGUACCUCUAUGUAAGAAAAUAUAUGCAUAAUGUUGUAUACCUUUGACUGACACUUUGAGUAAAGUGUUUAUUGGUUUUUUUUGAUGGAAUAAUUCACUCUCCAAUGUUAUAUAUUUAAUCUGAUGUAAUGGUACGAAAAUUAAAUAUAUAGUUUUGAUACAUUAUGUGAGAAAGGGUUUGCAUUAUAUAACCAUUUAAACAUAGUGAUUUUGGUGUCACUUACAUAAUCAAAGGUUUUAGACCUUCAGUUCAUAGUCUAUUUAGGUAAAAGAAUAACAGUAAAUAAAUUAUUUUCUGUGUUGUAAAUAGGAUUUGAAUCCAAGACACAAUCACACUUUUUUUUGCUAAUUUUUGUUUUUUGAGAGAUAAGAAAUAAAUUAAAGAAAACAAACUUGAACACAAUAAUUCAUAUAAAAUAAUUCUUACUCGAUUACCAGAACAAAAUGAAUAAUCAACCAAGUCUUGAGUAAAAUAUUUGAUAUAUUAUGUGUCGCGUAAGAGGAUGUGUCAAACAACACUCACAAGUUGUGUAGAAACAGAUACCUAUCAUAUGGUUAAAAAUAAUAUGUAAUUGUUCGCAUUUAACAAAUCUAGUAUUAUGUUGAAAUCUGAGUCUCCCAUAAUUAUCAAAAUGUUCAGAGGCUAAUAUUUUUUUGAUCAAGUGUCUGAGCAGAUUUUGGACGAUAUUUCGGUCAACUACAUCUUUUAAUAUAUGCUACAUUCUUUUUGGGUUAAUUGAAAACUGAAUUACAAUCCCCACACCAUCUUUGUUUCUCAAUUUUUGUGUUUAGGAUAGGCGAGUAAAUGUUGAUGACUCUAACAUUUGACAUUAUCUUAGCAGGUUAGGGUUUUCGAUUACCGUUUUCGGAAACAGAACUAGAACAGAGAUAAGCCAAACGAACAAGAAAACAAAACUAAAAACAUUAAAACCAAAGCUAAGCCGAUCCUCCCAACGCCAUUAACCUCCUAUCACAAGAAAUUAGAUAGUUGAGAUUUAAUCUUAUUUAUUUUAUAUUUUUAAAUCAUUUUUGGCAAGUGUGUGGAUAUAAUUUACACAUCAUUAAUAAUAAGACGUAUUAUAUGUAUUUCCCAUUAAGCACCAGUGUCCAAUGAAUCCUAUUUUAUUUUUUGGUUAAAUAGGAAGUAAUAUAAUUAGAUACAAUAAACGAUAAUGGUAAAAACUAGACAUUCAAUGAAUUAUUAAUUUUUCUUGCUUUGGCUAAAUAAUAAAAAUCUAUGUUGUUAAUAAUAUGCAAUAUGUAAAUUUGAAUUCUGAGGUGGUAAAGCAACACUAUUAUUAGUACAUAUCACUUUAGUAUAUGUCCAUAUGCCUUAUAUUAUUCUUAAUAUUAUUUAUUAUUUUUGUAAUAGAUGAUAUUAGCCCGGUGAUUACCAAAUUUCAUCAUAGUAGUUACAUAUAUAAAUAUUAUAGUAUUAUACUCGGAAAAAUUAAAACAAAGAUAUAACAUUUGUACAAAACUAGCUAGUAUUGUUAAUAUGGAUAGCUAUUUUCCCAAUAAAUGUGAGAUAAACGAUUUAAACUCGUGAAAUCUAACUAAAUGGAACUUUUUGAAUGCUAUGUGAAAAUAUAUUUUAUUUGUCCUAACUUUUUGUAUUGUUUGCAUAUAUUUUGUUAGAAACCGUGUGGGUUUCAUUUCAUUUAAAUAUUUUCAAAGGAAAAUUUCUAUCGACAAUUGGUCCAUCAUCCACCAUGUAUGAACUUUUUGGUGGGUCGUCAAUAUCAAAAUACAACCUUAUCAUUUUUUUCAAAGAUCUUUUAGAUUCUAAACGGUCAUUAUCAAACAAAAACAAAACAAAAAGAACCUAAAUUUAUGUUACUAUAAUUUCAUGUUACUAGUUAAUAUUGCGAAUAAAAACUCUAAAAGACUGUAACAGCCUAUACAAGUGGUAUUAUAUAAUUUCCAUUACUUUUAUCUCCCAAGAUAUCCUUUGUUAGAAAAGUGACAACUUAACAUUACAAAUUUUUAAAAUGGUAGAAAAUAACAGAUGUAAUAAAAUUAUUCAAUAUUCAUAUUUGUAAGUAAAUGUUGAUGUUUAUGUUUUUGAAUAAAUUCAUAUUUCUAGAAAAACAUUUUUCAUAUUAUCUAUACAUCAUUAAUCAAAAGAGAACAAACAGAAACCAAAAGAGAAGAAAAAUCAUAUGCCACAAAAAGGCCUACUAGAGCCUGUCUCGGCCCAUACACUGAAAAUGGGCCUAUGGAAAAUUAAUAAUUAAAAAUUAAAAAUGCGUCUGCCGGGAGUCGAACACGGGUCUAUUGCUUGGAAGGCAAUUAUCCUAACCGUUGGACUACAGACGCUUUUGUAUAAAAUUUGUUUAAUAUGUAAUAUACUUUAAUUUGCUUUUCAAUCAUAGAAUUAAACUAUUACAAUGCCUUUUUUUUUUUUUGAAUAAAUGUAAAAUUUUGUUCAGUCCAAAAAAGUCUUUUAACAUCAGAUGCAUCCUUAUUUUGAAAAAAUAAAUAAUAGCUAAAUAUUAUAAUUAAGAGUGAGUGUUAAACCAAACUUGAAGGCCAUCAGCAUAUUUGUGAGAGUGUUGUUGCAACAGUUAAAUUGAUUGUUUAGGUUGUUAAUAGUUUGAUCAACAUAGAAAAUGCAAGUAACGUUGGUGAUUAAAUUAACAAAAAAAUUAUCAUUGGUUUUUUUUUUUUGUACACAUAAAAAUUCAUACUAAUUACAAAAUUUUAUAUAAACAAGGACUCAACAACGAAAAACACAAAGCCGGAAUAUAUAAAAAAAACAACAUUACAAAAUAACAUCGUAAAACUGAGAUAGAACAAUUAAUGUAAAGAGCAUAUCACUCGAGAAGGAAGAUUCACAAUUCAAUAAGGUUUUUCUGUGAUGCCCUCCAUCUAAUCCAUAAAGGAAACAAGUUAUAAACAUGUCCACAAGAUUUAAAAAAAGAAGUAAAAACCAUGAUUAGUAGUUAAAUUUAAUUAAUUUCAUUACUAAUACCUUGAUCAUAGCCAAAAGAGACACUAACUCAGAUACUAUAUCAUCAUCUUACUAUGGUUGAAUUUGGUAACAUGAAAAAUAUUAUUAGUUUCAGUUUCCAUCCAAAUGGUUGAAUGAGCUUUUACUGAUAUUUGUCUUUUGUGGUUCAUUAUGUAAUCAAAUAUUUGAAUAUUAUGCAACCAUUAUAGUUAGUAAACACAUAUUUACACGAAAAUCCUUUAAUUAUUAUAUAUUUUGUUUUGAAAUCUUAAAUUUGAACCUAUAUUAUAUAUUUGCUAUUUUUUAUAUUGGCAUAGAUUUUACUUAUGUUUUGCCUAGUUUUUGUUAUAUUUUUUUUCUCCUUUUAUUUUAGUACUUUUAACAGUUAUAAUCUAUCAAUAGAGUUAUAGUAGUAACUAAAAACAGUUUAUUCUUACAAGGCAUCAGAAAGAGAGAAAAAAAACUUAAUUUUAUGUUUUAUAUUUAAUCGUAUAUUUCAAAUUUUAUGAUCAAUCUAAAGAACAAUUAGUGGUUAUUGUUGGUUUGCUAGUCGAGGUCAUAUUUUGAGGUGUUUUCACUAGUAUAUAAAUUUCCUAUUACUAGGAAACGAAAGCUAAGCAAUUUUAACUUACAUGGGUGCCAAAAAUAAACACCUGGUGGAUCCCUAUGUACUUAUGAAGUUAUGAACCAACGUGAGCCGAACCUCAUAGACACCCAUAUCCCAUGUAGUUGAACCAGUCCAAGAAAUGUGCAUAUCCCAAAGGAAAUCUGUAGAACAAAAAACAAAAUUUGAAUCUAAAUUAACUCAUGUUUUUAUUUUCCAAAAUCUGUAUUAGAAUAAAAGAUUUACAAACAUAAAUAUGUUUUGUAAAUCUCAUGUUUUGGAUUUUACAUUAUAUAUGUGAAAACAUUGUUUUUGACAACUUGAUAGAACAGAUAUGGGAGCCAUUAACAACUUUGCUUCUCAUGGACUCGGUUAACAUUGUGAUCUUCUUACCAUUUUCUUGUUUUUGAUUUUUUUUUUCCUGGAAUUAUUGUUAUUUCAGACCUAAGUAUCAAGUUGUUUUAUUUUUGAACAACUCCAGUUAUCAUUCAAAUUUAAUUUAAACUUAUUAACUUACUUGCGUACAUUAGUAAAAUGAUGGAACAAUACCAAUAUAUAUAAGAUAAGUGUUACCGAUACCUUAUAGAAAGCUACAAAGUUUAUGAAGAAUUUCUAUAAUAAAUUAAUAAGAAGAUAACUAAAUUCAUCAGGUCAGUGAUAAUUAGUUAAAGUUUUUAAGCAAAAAUUACAUAUACAUCACUCGAAAUAAAGAUAAAUAUUGGAGUGCAUGUCCAUAAGCGAACCUUAAGCACCAUGUUGAAAAAUUGAUCUUUCAUUUUAAAAGAUUUAAUCAAUAAAGUUUUGCCUUAUAACAAUACAUGAGAAAAAUCAAUUGAAAAAAACUGACAUGGAAAGGAGUCAUAUAAUUUUAGUUUUGCCAACCAACUUGACUCUAAUAAGAUAAAAGAUGGGUUACAAAUUUGGUUUGAUCCAAAAAACUUAAGUGCUAGAAGACUUUUGGUUUUUCAAUCUUCUUUGAAAUAUGAACAUAUAUAAUUCUCCAUUCAUUUUUUUUCGAAAAAGGUUAAAAUGCAUCAAGUAUACCAAAUAGUCUCAUGUAGUCUCUAGCCAACAAAUACAUGAGAAAAAUCAUUUUCUUAUUUUUCCCAACUCCUUUUUGCUUUUGAGAGCCGUUGCCACAAAACGAACCAUACUCCAAAACCUACUUUUAAAAAUCACUUUCUCUUCUUUUCAUUGUUUUUUUCUCUUUGGCUCUUGCUUCUUCGUUUCCCUCCAACUUUUCUCUUUUUCACUAUCUCUCAAUUUUCAAAAAAAGAAUCUUCUUCUUUGUUUUUGAAGUUCGAACAAAAUGUAUAUGCACUUUUAUUUACUUUGUUUUCAAUUUUGACACUACUCUUGUUGUUUCUUUAGUUGUAUGAAAUUUCUAGUAUCAAGAAACUGAGAGGAGGAUGAUGAAAAGAUCUCCAUUUAGUUACAAGAUGAGGCAUAGUCUCUCUGAUAUCACUAACUCUCAGCCUCACCAAGAGCUUAAUACUGGUUUCGAAUCACGUGAACACGUAAACCGGCUAAUGAAGGUUACUUUCUUCUCAUCCUUGUUUUCCUCUAAAUUCUCUUCAAUUCUUUUUUCCAUUGACUAAACUCGAUUUCGACAGGAGAAUAUAGCAUUGGUUAAGCUUCUUGAGGAUAGAGAGUAUCCUUUUGUUCUAUGUAGCUUCAGUUUUUGGUAAUUCAAGAAAAUAUCAUUUUUUUUCUUUAACUAUAAUAGUAAAACGAUUGAGCUAAGUAGAUAUGAAUUGCGGAAUCUACGCGAAGGCAUGCACAAUUUGCAAGUACAAAAUCUGAGCCUUGCACAAUCCAAUUCCCAAUUCGUAGGCGUAAGAUUCAUCGUCCCUUUCGUUUUCUUGAUUUUCUUUUCGGUAUAUUGAGUCUGAUCAUUAAAGGUUUUGUUUGCAGGAGAUCAAUUUAGCCAGAACCAAGGUGAAAUGAAACCACAAACUCUCUCUGGUCAUUUGUUUUUGGGGUUGCAUUGCUUUGUCUAAGAUUUUAUAAUGUCUCAGGUGAAAGCAUUGCACCAUGAGGUUAACUGCAAAAAUGCUCUGCUUAAGGCUAAAUUUUGGGAACAAGAGGUUUGAACAUGUUUUGUCGUUUCUCUUAUUCAUUUUAAAGUAAACUAAAGUUGGAUAUGUCAUAUGUGUUGACAUUUAUUAAAACAGAGAGGUGAAAAAACACAACCAAGAAAUGCACUAUCAACUGAGAAGGUGAUAAAUACAUCGGACGAAGACUCAUCAUUAGAGACACCAUCACCGAGACCUUUUGUACCAAAUAGAAGGCGAUUCAUCAGAAGCAAAUGUAUAUACAUUUUCUUGUUUAGCCUAUAACUAUUGUCACUACAUUCAUUUCUUUUUGAUUGAUAAUUCUAUAUACAUCUUGAUGGUUUUAUUUACAGCCAUAGGAGCAUCUACUACACACAAGAUUGAGGCAGAAAAGGAGAAAUCUGAAACCAAAAGGUUUUCACUUAAACCCUUUAAAUUCAUGUUUCGCUACGCGAUAUGGAGUCUUGAUCGUUAUGUUACAGGAGGCGGUCAAGAAGGAGAACAGCUAGAGUGAGAUCAGCAACGUACGAAGAAACAGAGAAUCUAUUUGAGAUUGAAGAUCUUGAGCUUACUAUGCCACCUAAUGAGAUAUGUCGACAAGAUAAACCGAAAAUGGCCUCGCAUACUCGAAAGAAGGAAGAUUUACGAGCAAUACAUCAAGAUUGUAAGGUCCAUAAAUCACCAGUCGAUCAACCAUUGCGUAGAGCAGCUGAGAAGAUACAUCCUUAUAUGUCGUUCGUUACUAAUAUGAGAAGGUCCUAAUACAUUGGUAGAGAAAAUGUUUGUAAUGCGACCGUUUUGUCUUGAGAGUUACUAGCUACCAAUCUCUAGACACAUUUGUACUUAUUGGUACGAAAUUUCACUAACAUAUUUAUUGAUAUGACCUUAGAACUUCGUUAAUUAUCAAGGUGGUGACUUACCUUGUGUAUAUGUUGGACUUAGCCUGUUGGCCCCUUGGGUUUAAUUUCAAUUAAUUUAUGGCCAAAAGUAUACUAGACUUAAUUUCAGUUAAUUUAAUUUAAACAAAAGUAUACUAGAAAUUUCAUUUCUUUGAAUUCAACAAACUAAUUUUAAGAAAAUAAGUGUUGGUUUACUUUGAUCUCUCAUGCAUUUUGUAACUUUGUUUGUAUGAGAGUUCUACAAUUUUUCCGACAUCUUCUGUGUUCAAAGGACAAUGAAUGAAGUUCAUCAUUAUAAAUCGAAAGACAAUAGUUUUUCAUCAAUUUUUUUUAUGAUUUUUAUAUAUGUACUAUAUAAAAUAGUUUAGUUGGUAGGCGAUAACUUUUCAAUGUAUAGUCACAUUUUUUUUGUAUCUAAUAGUGUACAAAAAAAAUUAUACAGUGGGAUACAUCAUCUAUUUAAGACACACGAUUUCAUUGUUCUAAAGCAUAGCAACAUGAGUUUGUUUUGGAUAAUAGGAUUGUGGGUUAUAGCCUUAGUGGUUUUGAGGAUUGGACAUUGGUGGUACCGAUGGUCCAACCCUAAAACUAAUGGCAAGUUACCUCCGGGAUCAAUGGGUCUUCCCAUCAUCGGAGAGACAUUCGAUUUCUUUAAGCCUCAUGGAUUUUAUGAGAUCAACCCAUAUCUCAAGAAAAAGAUGUUGAGGUCAGAUUUUACUUUCUCUCUAUAUCUAUACACAAUUUAUAUAUAGGUUAUUUAUGUGUGUUGUAAAUUUGUAAUGAAUGUCUUAGGUAUGGGCCUUUGUUUCGGAAGAACAUUCUUGGAGUAAAAACCAUUGUUUCGACGGAUAAGGAUGUUAACAUGGAGAUUUUACGACAAGAGAACAAGUCGUUCAUUUUAAGUUACCCGGAUGGUUUGGCGAAGCCAUUGGGAAAAGAUAGCUUGUUCUUCAAGAUAGGAAACAUCCACAAGCACAUGAAACAACUAACCCUUCGUCUAUUGUCCUCCGAGGGUUUGAAGAGGAAAAUAUUAAAAGAUAUGGACCGCGUAACACGAGAGCAUCUUCGUUCUAAUGCUAGCAAAGGAAGAUUCGACGUUAAGGAAGCAGUUUCAAGUGUACACAUAGUCUAUCUUUUUACCAUUUUUCUUAAUGUUGGAAUUAGUCUCACACUCUUUAGUCUCUUUUUUAAUCUUUGUAGUUGAUAAUAGCCCACUUGACACCAAAGAUGAUAAGUAAUCUCAAACCAGAGACUCAAGAAAAGCAUAUGGGAAAUUUCAAGGCCUUUAGUUUUGAUUGGUUUCUAACAUCCUAUAUCAUCUCUGCUGGGAGGGGUCUUUACAAUACUAUUUGGGUGCGUUUGUUUCUUUCUUUUGUUAGCAUUCUCGAGAAAGUAACUAAGUAACUAACUAUAAUGUUCUAAGCAGGCAUGUAAAGAAGUAAUCCAAGGGAUAAGGGAUAUCUACGCGAGGAGAAGAACAUCAAAUGAGAAGUACGAUGACUUCCUCAACACGGCAAUAGAGGAGUUAGAGAAAACAGGAGGAUUAGUGAACGAAGCUGCAAUUGUAGCCCUCAUCUUAACUCUUUCAUGUAUCACUCAAGAUACUACAUCUAAGGCCACUUGCUUGGCUGUGAAAUUCUUAUCGGAAAACCCUAAAGUUCUCGCAGAGUUAAAGGUAAUAAUGCAUAUGGAUGAUGGAGUGAUAAGCUAGUAAAAUAAAUAUGAAAGUGAUAGUAGUAAUGGUUCAAGAUCUUUUUGCAUGUGUCUAUGAAGAAUUUGGCAGAAAGAGCAUGAGGCAAUCCUUGAAAGCAGAGACGACAAAGAAAAUGGAGUUACUUGGGAAGAAUAUAGACACAAGAUGACUUUCACCAACAUGGUACCUUUAGUUUACUAAUAUAUGGCUAAGACAAAAUUUUUAUCAGAUUAGGUAUAUACUCACUUGACACUUUAUCUACACUUCCUAGGUUAUCAAUGAGUCCCUUCGGAUAACGAAUCUGGCUCCUAUGAUGUUUAGAAAAGCGGUGAAAGAUGUCGAAAUCAAAGGUAAAUAGUACUUAGGUACUCAUUUGACACUACGAAAAUUGUAUAUAUAUUACAAACAAAUGAUGUUAAUACAUUUGUGGACAUCUUUGUAUCAACAGGAUACACGAUUCCAUCAGGUUGGAUAGUAAUGAUUAUACCUUCAGUGGUUCAUUUCGAUCCUGAAAUCUAUGAAAACCCUUUUGAGUUUAAUCCAUGGAGGUGGGAGGUAUUGCACACUAGCUAACUUUAGUCUACAUAUUUUAUGUUUUAUUAGUUGUAACAUUUUAUAUACAUUAUGUUGAUGAUAAAUCUGGUGUACAGGGGAAAGAGCUGCGGUCAGGGUCGAAAACUUUCAUGGUGUUUGGAACUGGAGUUAGGCAGUGCGCUGGUGCAGAGUUUGCUAGGCUUCAGAUUUCAAUUUUCCUUCAUCAUCUUGUCACCACUUACAACUUCUCGUUAUCCCAAGACUGUGAGGUUGUUCGUGUACCUGGUGCUCAUCUUCCCAAAGGCAUCUCUAUAAACAUCUCCAAGUGUGCCAAAUAACUUUGAAUCAAAGACAUUGCCUUAUCAAUUCACACCAUUGGUAAAAAUAAAUGUGAAUUUAAUACCUUAUGUACUUGUUUGUCCCACACCCUGUGUAAGGAUUGUCGUGAAAUGUAAUAGUUUUUAAAAAUAUAUUGUUAUAUUGUUAUAAAAUAUAUAGUAUUAAUAUUAUAAGACCUUUCUAUAAAAGAACGUGCUAUUAUAUUUAUAGCAUGCCAUAUCUCGUCGUGACUUGUAACUUUGGAGAAGAAGAGACCAUGAUUAACGGGAUAGUCUUACUUGUUUCUUAUAUAUUUUGAUGAUUAAAAUUAAAUGAUUAAUAAUGUUAAAUGGUAAGAAACGUUUCUUGGUCAAGAGUUAAUAUUAACCUUAAGAGACGCAUACGUGUCAAUUUCUUAGUGGUUGAAGAAGAAAAGAAAAAAAAGUGGAGAAAAAGCUUCUUCUUCUCUCUCUCGCAUGUCUCUCUCCCCAAAGCUGAACUUGUCAUCUUCUACUUCACAUUUUUUUUUGUCAUCUGAUGAUAUUGAUAAUACUUGGAAAGAUACAACAUGAAAUACAAACUAAGCCGGCGGAAAACAAAGAUAUCCCCGGAGUCUAAAGCCCAAACAAGGGAAACUAAGCCGGCGAACAAAGGAAAGUCCCCGGAAACUACAACUAAUCAAUAGAAACAACUAAAAAUACAAAACAAAAGAUUGAAAGCCAACAACAAAAGAGAUCAACACCAAAAACUAAGAACAAGGCAAACAAUAACCAACCGAAGAUAAGCACGAGAUCUAAGCCACCAACACGAUCUUUUCUUUUGAAGUCACUGUGAAUGAGAACAAUCAAUGCUGCCCACGGCCAACCCAUCGAUAACAACUGCUUCCUCCUAUCACAAAGAGAGAAGAACUCUCGAAACCAAGGCUUCAUAAUCUGGCAAGUAAAGGCCUAAAACAGAACCCCAUAAAACACUUCCAAAUACGGCGAAGACGACAUCGUCAAAUAACGCCUAGAUAAAAGCCAUAAACAAGCAAUCCGACAUCCUCCAGAUUCGGAAACGCAAGAGACAAGGAGCGAAACAUAACCACCUCAAUGAAUUUCGAAAAACUAAACUCAUUAUCAGAAGUUAUCAUCACCAGCAACUUCCACCCAAGAGCAGAACGAAAAGAAGCCAAAGAGACAAGAACAAACUUCACACAACAAAGGCCUCUUCUUAGAAAGGAGAUGAUCUAAAGGGGAAAACCAUAAGCUAAAACUAGGCAAUAAGGAUGAAUAGAGGGACAAGGCAAUGUGAAGACUGAUUACAAUACUUACACAAACCAAACCAGCGGCAUCAAAACAACAUGAAGAACAAGAGCUAGAACUGAUCAAGGUUGUGAGAAAAUAACAAAACAGUGGCUAACCCGAUGAUCACAGACCCGGGACCAACCUCACAAGAGCCACAAACCACACAGAUCCUAAGUGCUAAACCGCUCCCCCUAACACCCAAAAUCACAACCCGUUUAAACUAAAGAGAAUCCCAAUUGAACGCCAUCAACAACAUUAAACUAACCCACAAAACUAAAGUAAAGGAAAGGAAAAGAAGAGGGAGACCGAAGCCGGUGCUAAAAGAGCCACCGCACUCCGGUCUCAAGUCUGAGUUUUCUCGGCGGCGGCUAGGGUUACACGAGAGAGAGAGAGAGCGACCUUUGGUUUUUUUUUUCUUUUGUAUUGUAUAUUUGUUGAUCUUC
rnacentral:lncRNA from 1 species